rnacentral:lncRNA from 12 species
GUCUUUGUCCUCUUAAAAAUGCUAUUUUGGGACUUCCAUGUGAAGAAGCUAGCUCUAGUCUCCUGGAUGAUAAGAGGCCAUGCGCAGGGAAAUCAAGUCACUUCAGCCAACUGGGAACAUCAAUUGUCAUACAUGAGUGGAUCUUCAAGCCCGCGGAGUCUUCUGAGGGUGACUACAUGAGUGAGCCAGGUGAAAUGAGCACAACCAAUGGACAGAAUUGUGAUAAAUAAUAAAUCAUUGUCAUUUCAAGUCUGCAAUAGGCAACUGAUACAGAUUUGAAAAUUUUCAGAUCAAAAUGGGAGUGUCCACCUUUGUAAACCUGAAACUAGUGGCUUAUAACGGAUCACACUUCUGUGCCCUUUCCAGUGUUCCUGAUGUGUGUGUGUGUGGUUUCAUGAUUGUGUACUUCUUGGGUUCGGUUCCCCCAGAAGCCAAAUCUGAGAAAAGGAUGUGAGUGUCAGUUGUUUAUUUGAGAGGUAAGUCCAUAAAACUCUAGCAGCUGAGUGGGAAAUGAUACAGGAAAGGAAACAGAACCAAGAAGGGUAUGUUAUUGAAUUUAUUCUUACUGGACAACUGGGACUCAAUGCUGCUGAAGUUUGGUGGCUAGAGUAGAUCAUAGCCCAGAGUUUUCCCAGCUGAGAGGUUAAACUGAAGAGUUUAUCCAUCAGAUCCUAUUAGUUACUGAUAGAGGGAUUCUGAGGGUGGGAAGAGUGUCAUAAUGCCUUGGUUCUUCUGGUGUCUACCUUGGGCACAGACUGAGUGGGCUCCAGUGAUUAGAGAAAGCCUCUUGGGAAGAGUCCCAGGGCUCCUGUUUGUGAAACUUUCAGUUGGCCUUCCUUGGAGUCACUGUACCAACUUGACCAUGGACACCAAGGCUUCAAUCUUGAGGUGAAUUUCAAAACAUUUAUCAAGAGAGAAGAGGUUUGGGGUAUGUUUUUUUUUACUAUUACACAGAAGUAUUUCACAGUUUUCACUACUGCCACAUGGUUGUUAAAAUAUGGGGGACAUCUAAAUGUCAGUUAUAUUUAUACCAUUUCAUGUGAUGAAGAACUUCAGGAAUUCUAGAUUAGUUGCAUUGUCAAAAUCUCUGGGUCUCUGCCUCUGUCUAGCAAAGGGCUAAUUCAGAGAACUUCUGAAUAGUUCAGUAUGUUUGAGAGGUAAGGGAAGAUGCCUGUCAGGAAUUGAAGAACCAAACAAGGGCAAAUUAUGAACAAGUUGUGUCCUUGAGUUCCAAUGCUAGGUUCUUUGCCAUGAUGGGAAGCUGUAUUUAAACUGUGUGUGGAUGAAGAAUAAGAAGUUUAGAUCUUUAUUUUAAGAAGAUCACCCCGGUUGCAUGUGGUAGAUGGACUAGAUGGAGGCAAAGAGAAAGAGGGGAUGCUUGUGAAAUUUCCAGAUGACAUAAAGCUGGGUGGAGUAGUUAUAAUAACAGAUGACAGAAGCAAAAUUCAUAGUGAUUUCAUCAGACUUGAAGAUUGGAUCUAACCAAUGGGAUGAAAUUCAACAGGAAAAAAUGAUAAAGUUUACCAUUUGUGUGUGUGUGUGUGUGUGUGUGUGUGUGUUUGAGUUAAUUGAGAAAGUGCAAGAGGGAGGGGAGCAGUUUUGACACAGUUUGUACAAAAUUCCCUAAAACUUGUGGUGGUGGAUGUGGUCAUGAUUUGGUUGACCACAAGUUGAAUUUGUGCCAACAAUGUACUAAAGAGCUGAACCUUUUGCUUUAUGGAUAGAAACAAAAUAUCUGGCCCCUGGGAAGUAACUCUAUCUUUUGUCAGACAACUUGUUUCAUCUGUGCCCUCCCCCGCCCCGACCCACUUCACCAUUUUAUCAAAAAGCAGGUCUAUUAGUCUCUGAUGGUUUAAGGACCAGCACAUGUUUACCCUUGGACUGGGUGCCGG